UACGUAGGGUGCAAGCGUUGUCCGGAAUUAUUGGGCGUAAAGAGCUCGUAGGCGGUCUGUCGCGUCGGCUGUGAAAACCUGGGGCUUAACCCCGGGCCUGCAGCCGAUACGGGCAGACUAGAGUUCGGCAGGGGAGACUGGAAUUCCUGGUGUAGCGGUGAAAUGCGCAGAUAUCAGGAAGAACACCCGUGGCGAAGGCGGCUCUCUGGAACGUAACUGACGCUGAGACGCGAAAGCGUGGGGAGCAAACAGG
rnacentral:rRNA from 1 species